CAAAUCCGGAGGUUUUCCCA
rnacentral:sRNA from 1 species